rnacentral:lncRNA from 1 species
CAAGGAGCUCAAGGUGAAUAGGCGGUGGGAAGGUGAGAGGAAGCAGGAGCUCAUCUCUCCUCCAAUGGCUGCCUCGUGCAUCUGGAGGACAACACGUGCUUGUUGGAGGCGACUCGAGCGAUGCAGGUCAGCGGCGAACUAGGUGCUCCACUCUUUCUCUCCCUCACUUCCUUCCUCACUCAUAUUUUACCCUGCUAAUUUUUGGAUUUUUAAACUUGGCGUGUGCAGAUCUGACAUAGAAGACCACGUUCCUCAUAUUCAAAAGUGAUCUUCUUCCAAUGGCUCUAAUGGUAAUUUAUAACCUCUUUUGAUGUACCGCAGUUGUGUCAAGUUUGCUGACAUCCUCGUGCUGCAACUGGCUUGGUAUAUUUGGUUAAUCGUAACCAGCAAAGAGGAGGAGUCACAUACAUGCGCACCUGCCAGCGGCAGGCAGGUCGAAUUGUCGCGCCACCGCAUCGUCGCCUCCUCUGCACCAUGAGGUGCCACCUCUGCCUCCACCCCCCACCGGGCAAGGAGCUCGAGGUGAAUAGGCGGUGGGAAGGUGAGAGGAAGCAGGAGCUCAUCUCUCCUCCAAUGGCUGCCUCGUGCAUCUGGAGGACAACACGUGCUUGUUGGAGGCGACUCGAGCGAUGCAGGUCAGCGGCGAACUAGGUGCUCCACUCUUUCUCUCCCUCACUUCCUUCCUCACUCAUAUUUUACUUUGCUAAUUUUUGGAUUUUUAAACUUGGCGUGUGCAGAUCUGACAUCGAAGACCACGUUCCUCAUAUUCAAAAGUGAUCUUCUUCCAAUGGCUCUAAUGGUAAUUUAUAACCUCUUUUGAUGUACCGCAGUUGUGUCAAGUUUGCUGACAUCCUCGUGCUGCAACUGGCUUGGUAUAUUUGGUUAAUCGUAACCAGCAAAGAGGAGGAGUCUCAUACAUGCCUGCUAUUCUUUAUGUGGUUGUAUGAAGUGUACCUUCAACUAAUCAAGCAACCUGGCAUUAGUAGUUUGUUUAAUUAAUAUCACUCUCAUCAAAGAGUAUGAUAUCAUUUAGCUAGCCUCCUUUCUUUGUAAGAGGGAUAGUGUAAAGGUUAGAAAUGGGUAACGGAAUGAGUGUUCUCAUUUUUACUGCCCCUGGAUUUAGGGAAUAUAUAUGCGUAUAUAUUGAUGCUCAUCGUUGCCAUGUCUGGCUCUUCAGGUGCAUGCUAGCUAGAAGUUCAGAUUUGUAAUCAACGAGUGUAAAAUUGAUUGUCUCUGGUUACUCUCGUGAUCUGUAUCUAGAGGGCAAGUCAGGUCUUGGAAUGCUGAGGUGAGACUUUCCAUGGCCUCUGUUUUUCUUGAUGGGUGGAUUACACAUUACUUCCUUGGAUGUUUAAAGAUUAUUAUAUCAUUGCUCCCCUUUUUAUCGGCAAGCAUUCUCUCAUCUUCUGGUAACUUGAGUAAGAUGCAACACACUAAUGCUUUCUUAGUCUGGUUUGUUGCAAAAAAUAAUUGAAGUGUGCAGACAGGCAGCAUGGAAACACUAAAGAGAAGUUUCAUACGUACUAAUAGCUGGAGUGAUUUGAUACCUGUAGUAACCGUCUUAGAAUAAAUAAGAUUCAGCUAUUUCUAAAGAUAUUAGACCAUAAGAUUAUUCUUAAGUAAAGAUGUUUCAUGCUUCUGUUUCUGCAAAAUUUCUAAGAGUAUAUGAUUUCAUUUUCCUUCUUUCCCAGUUAUAAAUUUAUUGGCAUCAAAGUAGAGCUUCAGGUUUAUGGUUCAGUAUAUCAUUGCAAAGUAGUUUAUGGCUCAGUAUAUCACUACAGGUUCCUUACACUCUCAAAUUUCAAUGUUUUUGUAUUUUUGUCGAUGGAACCAUGUUCUUUGACUAUAAAGUAGCAGAGAUUUCUUUUCUAUCAAUUCUAAUCCCUUUUUAUGCAUUGCUGGUUUGCUAUCAAACUCUCAAAAAUGGAAAAACAACUUUACUUUGGUUUUUUGAGAACCUUCCUGUAGAGUACCUCGACAGAGACAAAUAUGCGGUCAAGGAUAUAUUCGAUGGAUUUUCAUGCCAAACUUGGAGGAUAUUUUUGCAGGUUCGUUGCUUGCAUUAUUGUUUUCUUACUUUCUGUUCUUCAAGACAAUAUCUUCCUAGCAUUGCUCUAUAAAUUUAAAUCCAUCUUUUUGUUCUUUGGAUUAUCAUGGCGUACUCAUCCUGUGUAAUCCAAGCAAGGGCCUUCAUGUUUGCAGAUAGUUUGGUACUCUCGUGGUUAUUUUUGUGGUGAUUUGCCUUCUAUUCAUUACUUGGUAACCAUCUACUGCAGGUCAGCUAUUGUCCAGCUGCUAACCUUAUGGUGAGUGGUUGAUGGUGCAUGUUUUCCUAUUAGUUUCUCUCUAUGCCAAUGUCUGAAUUUUAUCUUGCCGUUUUGCAUUUCUACAGGCCUUUCAUUCUCAUUGUGAUUCCCCGAGAUGCGCUAUUAGUAGGCAUCCACUUUCUAAUAAAAAUUUGGAAGUCAACUUGAAAAGAGUCAUUUAUCUAGCUACAGCAACCUUCCUUGCUUUUGCAAAUAAUACUUUAUGGUUGACAAUAUAGUCUACACCUGCCAAACAUUUACACGUUAGUAUAACCAGAAAGUCAGAUGAUCGUUCCAUGUUGGUUAGCCGUGAUAAAUCAAAUUUCUAGAGUAGCAGAUGAUUCGUGUCAGGUUUCUUUUAGAGAUUGAAAUAUGUCUUGACUCCGAAAUAAGUAGUACAACGUCCAGUUCUGCAUAGGUGAAAGCAUACUGUGCAAAACCGGACAGCCUUCUAAAGCUCUGAAACUACUAUUUGUUUUUGUUUUUUGCGGUUAACUACUACUUGUUGUGUGAUCAGUACCCCCUUUUUAUACUCUGUAUAUGCUUUCUACUUACUAGGAAAAAAUGCGUGAGAACGAUGGCCUAGAGGAUGUGAAUUGCACUCGAAUAUAUGCAGGUUUCUUGCCAAACUAACUGCCACUAUUAUAUUUCAGGUGCUUCUUCUGUAACUUAGUGUAUUUUCCUGGCUCUUCUCAUUUCCUGGCGAACUUUUUAGUAUGUACAGUUGAAUCGUUGGAAGUUGUUUUCUACUAUCUAUAGAGGUUUUAUCCAAACUAUUAGCUGCCUGACUUGCUUUUUCGAAAUACACCGUCCUGAUAGACAUUUCCAUGGGAUGUUAGAAAAAUAUAUGUGAAUUUGCAUACAUUUUAUAAAUUCCUAUCUUUACUUAUCCAUGCUUCCCCAUAGAUAAAUAGCAGGUUCAACAAAAAUGAAUGUUCUCUUUUGUUCAAAUUUCAAGAAAGUGUGCUUCACGCUUCUCUUUCUGCAAUAUGUUUCGGAGUGUAUGAUUUGAUUUUCCUACUUUCCCGGUUACAAUACUGUGUACUUCAUUCCUAGCUUUGCUUGAAAUAGGUAUGCAGGUUAUCGAAAGCUCCAUUUUUCUCCAUUAUAUAGAUUAUAUAGCUUUGUGAUCAAAGGUAGGUUGUCACACAGGGGAUUUGGCUUGUGAAAGUUAUAUACAUCCAUGAGUCCCUAACAAAAUAAUCGCAGCUCAUGUUAAAAGGAUCAGGGAACCUCGACCAUUUUUCUGAAACAUGUCUCAGCUCAUGUUCCGACUUUCUACACUACUAUGUACUUCAUUCUUACCUUUGCUUUUGGAAGUUACAUUCUUUCUUUUCCCUCGUAAACUUGCUAACGAUAUUGGCAAAGUAAUCCCCACUUCAUAUUUCCCAUUGAAUGAAUAACUAAUUUAGAUUGUUCAAAAAUUGUAGGUCAAGAGGCAUGAAUAGGAGCAGGGCAUCACACUCCAGCUCUGAGAAGGAAAGGAUAUGAAGACAAAGAUAUAUGAGUGUUGUGCUCCGACGCAAAAACAUUUUGCGUGUAAUAAUGAACUGUAAUUUACCACAAUCUCUCUACAACAGGCCUACCUAUUACCAUCCGUUGCUUGCUUUUGUAUUAGGAAGUAUGACUCAGUCAUAUAUAUUUACAUUCACGUUGUUUAGUUAUGGUUCGUAUGCAUGAACAUACCUUUUUAACCGAGCUUGAAAAUUCUUAUGUGUAGUGAAAUUGCAUCUAGCACUUUAGACAUCAUAAUCAUAAAUGGUUGCUAAAGAGUUUGAAUUGGUAAAGUGGUUGCAUCCGCUGUUACAGGUCUGGAAUGUUCCUCCAUGCUAAAACCUAAUUUAAUUUUGAAAACACUUUGUGUUUGAAAUUGACAUUGUGCUGUUUGGUGUAAUGGGCCAUUUGUGUAACCAUGCAUGCAGAGAAAUCAGAAAU